CUCAAUACAAGAAACGUAGAGCUUUCUCUAGGUCUGAUACCAGUAUACGCCUUGUCUGCACAAGUGAAUUUGGGUAAAAUUGUCAACAUGGGAAUUGUUAUAGGGAUCAUUAUUGAUGUGAUAGUGACAGCAGCAGCUGCAGCCGCAGAAGCUGCAGCUACAGCAGCAGCAGCAGCAGUUGCAGAAGCUGCAGCAGCUGCCACAGAAGCUGCAGCAGCUAUAGCAGAAGAAGCAGCUGCAGCAGCAGCAGAAGAAGUAGCAGCAGAAACAGCAGCAGAAGAAGCAACAGAGGGUGUUAUUGAAGGUGGAACAGAGGGCGUAGGAACCUUGGAGCAAGUUUUACGUUAUCUGGCCAAAUUUAGUAAAAUGAUAAAAGAGUUCUGUGCAAUUGAUGCUGUUUUCAGAGUUGCAAAAGCAAUUCUACACCGCCUCUCUUCUAAUUCUGGUGCACUUCAAACAUUGCAGAGACUGGAGAAGUCUCUAGAUUUGUUAUCAAAACUGCAGCACAAGAUGGAAGCAUUCCUGCAGUGGCUAGAGGACCAUAAGAAUGACACUGAGACACUUGCAGGAAUUGACGUCCCCUUGGAAUCAGGAAUUCUAGCCAGGUUCAUGAAACCGCUUUCAACUGCUCUGGGAAUCUUACAGACACUCACAACAGAAGUCAGCAACCAGAACCUGAAGAAUAAACCGAUGACAGACGCACAGCUUACAAUGUUUAACAGAUGCCUGAUUCGUGUUGUGACAACAUUUGAGUCAUUGGCCACAUUCAAGGAGGAAAAGAGUAAGAUAUUGCCUGUGCUGACAUCACUUCCAAUCAGCAUGGAUGAAGUGAAUGAAUGGAAGGAUGACCUUGGCUGGAAAGAGGGUGGCAAUAUUCAGUCUCUUUUAGAAUAUCCUAUAUACCAAUAUCGUGCCCAUUAAAUAAGCAAUAUUUAGCAGAGCAACACAACAUCAUGAUUUUUCUGUAUGACUAAAUGCCUACAUUGUUGUACCCUAGCCUAUGGCAAUGGCUGAAAGUGCCAUAUUCUUUUUAUGUUGCAAUUCUCCAUUAAUAGUACCACCACUUUACUCUUGAUUAAGUGUCUUCACUUAGAAAGUUCCUAACACAUGGGAACGUGUAACACACACACAACUUUACUUAACCUAUCACUGUUCCUAGAAAAUGUUGUUCUAUUGCCUAAUGUGUUGCUAUGAUUCCAUAAGUAAAGCAUGUUAAUUUUUUUUUCCUUUCCCUGUUAACAUUCAGACAAUUUAUAACACCUUAAAAUGUAAUCUCUACCACAAAUAUGGCAGCUCCAUAAAAAUAGAAGAGCCAAACGAUACAUCAGGAUGUGACGUGUGCUCACUGCAGGAAAAACCAUGUGAACUACAAGAGAAGUUUCAAUUCAGGAAGGGAAACCUCCAAAUGUCAAUCACGUCACUCUUUGUGGAACUGAUCAAAAUACUAAUUAAGUAAUCAACACAUAGCAAGUUGGUACUUUAAAAUAACUAGCCGUAACGAGGCACAAUCAUAGCCACCGUUAACUGCAAUUCUAAUAGGCGUGCUUCAAUCCGUGUUUUCAGUCCGCUCCAGCUUCAAACUGAUCUCAUGUAAGUCACCUUUAAUUAGGAAUAGAUAGAAAAUAAAAGGAAGACAGCAACCUGUUUCCACCCCUGAAUGACUCAUCUUAAAAUAAACUAUAGACAGAAAGUCAACCUUACAGAUCGGGCUCCCAGAUUCUGUACAUAGGCUUUUUUUAUGAUUCCUUUGCCUUCCUGUGUGCAUUGCACUUAGGCAAAAACAAAAACUUAGAGAAAUAUAAUUUUAAAAACAAACAAAUACUUUUUUGUUUACUGUCCAGGUGACAACGAUGUUUUAAUCAGCCUCUAUCAGCGUGUCUGUACUGGCUUUUCUGUGACCUGCUGUACUGUACGUAGCAGGUGGGACAAAGUCAGUGCUGCAUUGUUUUGAUUUAGGUUGCUAAAAUCUAGCCACAUUUUUAAAAUUUGAGCGCUAGAUGUAAAAUAAGCAAAGCAAAACAAGCAAAGUAUAUUUCGGCUGAGGAUCAUGUCAAGACAUUUCCCAAAGAACCUGUACAUGCAGAUGGAUGUAAUUGUUUUGCACAUCUUGUAAUGUGACUUAAAGAAAAUACGAUUGAUCGCUAGAACUUCAGAAUCCCACAUAAACAAAAGGCUACUACAGAGGCUGCUGAACAGAACAUAAAACAAACGAGAAGACGUCAGAACAUUUUGAUUGCUGAGUGCCGGCACUCUGCUACAGGAAGUGCCGUGAGUGCCGACACUCUGCUACAGGAAGUGCCUGGGUGGCCUGCGGUGUCCUGGGACACUGCCGUGAGUGUCCUGCAUAGGAUUGUAUUGUACUUUGUGAGUGGCCUGCAGUGUCCUGUACUGCGUGAAACUCACAGUAUUAAUUAUUGUUGUUGUUAUGAUUAAUAUUAAUAAUUCCGCAUGGAAUUCUUUGGGGUGGUAGGCCUAUAUCGUCAGACUUUAACGUGAUAAUUAUAAUUUGCUUCUGGCUCGUACUACGUGCUGCCUGAGACACUGUGGUGAGUGUCCUGCAUAGGAUACUAUUACACUGCGUAAGUGGCCUGCAUAGGAUUGUAUUGUACUUUGUGAGUGUCCUGUACUGCAUGAAACUCACGGUAUUAAUUAUUAUUGUUGUUGUUAUGAUUAAUAUUAAUAAUUACGUAUGGAAUUCUUUGGGGUGGUAGGCCUAUAUCGUCAGACUUUAACGUGAUAAUUAUAAUUUGCUUCUGGCUCGUACUACGUGCUGCCUGAGACACUGUGGUGAGUGUCCUGCAUAGGAUACUAUUACACUGCGUAAGUGGCCUGCAUAGGAUUGUAUUGUACUUUGUGAGUGUCCUGUACUGCAUGAAACUCACGGUAUUAAUUAUUAUUGUUGUUGUUAUGAUUAAUAUUAAUAAUUACGUAUGGAAUUCUUUGGGGUGGUAGGCCUAUAUCGUCAGACUUUAACGUGAUAAUUAUAAUUUGCUUCUGGCUCGUACUACGUGCUGCCUGAGACACUGUGGUGAGUGUCCUGCAUAGGAUACUAUUACAGUGCGUAAGUGGCCUGCAUAGGAUUGUAUUGUACUUUGUGAGUGGACUGCGGAGUCCUAGGACACUGCCUUAAGUGUCCUGUGUGCUAAACAGGCUGUUGAUAGUGUGACAAACAUCCCUGUUCUCUGCAGAGCAA